AUACGGAGGAUCCGAGCGUUAUCCGGAUUUAUUGGGUUUAAAGGGAGCGUAGGCGGACGCUUAAGUCAGUUGUGAAAGUUUGCGGCUCAACCGUAAAAUUGCAGUUGAUACUGGGUGUCUUGAGUACAGUAGAGGCAGGCGGAAUUCGUGGUGUAGCGGUGAAAUGCUUAGAUAUCACGAAGAACUCCGAUCGCGAAGGCAGCUCACCGGGCCGGAACUGACACUGAUGCUCGAAAGUGCGGGUAUCAAACAGGAUUAGAUACCCUGGUAGUCCGCACAGUAAACGAUGAAUACUCGCUGUUUGCGAUACACGGUAAGCGGCCAAGCGAAAGCGUUAAGUAUUCCACCUGGGGAGUACGCCGGCAACGGUGAAACUCAAAGGAAUUGACGGGG
rnacentral:rRNA from 1 species